GCUAACGCAGGGGCAGCGGCGGGGGUAAGACGGAGGGGGGGAGCGUGAAUGGGCAGUAUGGGGAGGAAAGCGCGCGCAGGCGGGUUGUGAAGUCAGAUGUGAAGUCACCGGGGUCAACCUGGGAACGGCAUCUGAUACUGGCAAGCUUGAGUCUCGUAGAGGGGGGUAGAAUGCCAGGUGUAGCGGUGAAAUGCGUAGAGAUCUGGAGGAAUACCGGUGGCGAAGGCGGCCCCCUGGACGAAGACUGACGCUCAGGUGCGAAAGCGUGGGGAGCAAACAGGAUUAGAUACCCCAGUAGUC
rnacentral:rRNA from 1 species